rnacentral:rRNA from 1 species
UACGAAGGGGGCUAGCGUUGUUCGGAAUCACUGGGCGUAAAGCGCACGUAGGCGGAUCUUUAAGUCAGGGGUGAAAUCCCGAGGCUCAACCUCGGAACUGCCUUUGAUACUGGGGAUCUCGAGUCCGGGAGAGGUGAGUGGAACUGCGAGUGUAGAGGUGAAAUUCGUAGAUAUUCGCAAGAACACCAGUGGCGAAGGCGGCUCACUGGCCCGGAACUGGACGCUGAGGUGCGAAAGCGUGGGGA